UCCUACGGGAGGCAGCAGUAAGGAAUAUUCCACAAUGAGCGAAAGCUUGAUGGAGCGACACAGAGUGCAGGAUGAAGUCUUUAGGGAUGUAAACUGCUGUUGUAAGGGAAGAAAAAACUAGAUAGGAAAUGAUUUAGUCUUGACGGUACCUUAUUAGAAAGUGACGGCAAACUAUGUGCCAGCAGCCGCGGUAAUACAUAGGUCGCAAGCGUUAUCCGGAAUUAUUGGGCGUAAAGCGUCCGCAGGUUUUUUGUUAAGUUUAAGGUUAAAUGCUAAAGCCCAACUUUAGUUCGCUUUAGAUACUGACAAAAUAGAAUUAUGAAGAGGUUAGCGGAAUUCCUAGUGGAGCGGUGGAAUGCGUAGAUAUUAGGAAGAACACCAAUAGGCGAAGGCAGCUAACUGGUCAUAUAUUGACACUAAUGGACGAAAGCGUGGGGAGCAAACAGGAUUAGAUACCCUGGUAGUCC
rnacentral:rRNA from 1 species